CAAACGCCGUCUGGAGAGCCGUCGCACCCGUGACGCACCGAAGGAGCAAGGCCCGCCGAACGGCGGGUUGAAUCUCUCAGGUACCGAGGACAGAGGGAGCGGC
rnacentral:ncRNA from 2 species